rnacentral:rRNA from 1 species
UGGACUCGUAUGAAAGGCAAAAUGAGAGCCUGACUGUCUCUUACAACUAAUCAAUUAAACUGAUCUCCCAGUACAAAAGCUGGAAUACCCCCAUAAGACCAGAAGACCCUGUGAAGCUUUAACUAACCUAUUAAACCCUAUAAUAACUAAUUUCGGUUGGGGCGACCUUGGAACAAAAAAGAACUUCCAACAUAUGACUUCCUCAUAGAAAGGCAAACAAGCCACAUUAGACCCAGUAUAUCUGAUUAAUGAACCAAGUUACUCCAGGGAUAACAGCGCUAUCUUCUUCAAGAGCCCAUAUCAAAAAGAAGGUUUACGACCUCGAUGUUGGAUCAGGACAUCCUAGUAAUGCAACCGUUACUGAGGGUUCGUUUGUUCAACGAUUAACAGUCCUA